rnacentral:rRNA from 1 species
UCGAGGAUCAUUCGCAAUGGGCGAAAGCCUGACGAUGCGACGCCGUGUGAGCGAUGAAGGCCUUCGGGUUGUAAAGCUCUUUCGCUUGGGAACAAGAGAGGUUUGUGAAUAGCAGGCCGAUUUGAGGGUACCAGGUAAAGAAGCACCGGCUAACUCCGUGCCAGCAGCUGCGGUAAUACGGAGGGUGCAAGCAUUAAUCGGAAUUAUUGGGCGUAAAGGGCGCGUAGGCGGAAGGAUAAGUCAGAUGUGAAAUUCCGAGGCUCAACCUCGGAGCUGCAUUUGAAACUAUCCAUCUAGAGGGUUGGCGGAGAAAAUGGAAUUCCACAAGUAGCGGUGAAAUGCGUAGAUAUGUGGAAGAACACCGGUGGCGAAGGCGGUUUUCUAGCUUACACCUGACGCUGAGGCGCGAAAGCAAGGGGAGCAAACAGGAUUAGAUACCCCCGUAGUCC